CGAUAUAAAUGAUGUGAAAGUACUUUGAAAAAUGUAAGUGAAAGACUGGGGCACUGACUUCUUCCCAUUUUCCCAAGUCCUGCUUCAGAACCACUCUCCUAGGCCACAAGCCCCUACCUCCUUCUUGGCCCUUUAAUCAAACUUUGCCUACUGAGGGGCAUAACUAUAUGGUAUCCCCAGAACAGGGACUAAUAUUACAGCCCCCAUUUCUUCUCUUUGCUAUUUGCCAUGAUACUCUUAAACCUAGAGACUGGGAUCCUCUCCCUAGACCAAAAGGGAGGGGCACACAGGCAUCAUAAUGGACAUUCAGACAUGGUAUGAUGCGAGGGGUGGGCAUGAGAUAAAUGCUGGAGGAGGUCUGGGCAACACCCCAGUUACUCAUUUGGACUCACUGGGACAAGUGAUUAACUAGAAUUCUCAAUGAAGAAAUGAGAAGAAGGCUCCCUCCAAUUUCUCAAUUUCCACCCCGCCCGAUACCCAGUUUGAUUCCACACCCUCCUAAUCCAUCCCGCCCUUGUAAUCCAACCCGCUCUCCUAAGGCAACCCACUUACCCCCCCUUUUUCCUCAACCUGCCAGGACUCUUUCUCCUCUCCAGAAGUAUGUAGAUUUUUCAGUUUUCUGCUCUAACUGUUAUCCCACUGUGGCUCAUGCCUGCCCUCCCCACUACCCUACCCUAAAACUCUUCCUGCCCUGCUCCUCUGCUAUUCAUUACAGACUACCUAUUUGCCAAUGCCGUGGUCCCACAACUCUUUCUGGCAACUUCCCUGUCUAUGCCCCUAGCCCUCUUAGCCCUGCUUGCCAAAGCUGUGGUUCCAGAGCUCUUUCCUGUGACUCCCCUAUCUAUCCACCUACUCCUCCUCCUAGCCCUACUUGCCAAUGCUGUGGUCCCAGAAUUCCUUCCUGUCACUCCCCUGUCUAUCCCCCUACUCCUCAUCCUAGCCCUACUUCUUCCCAAUACUCUAGUCCCAGAACUCUUUCCUGUGACUCCUCUAUCUAUUCCUCUACUACUUCUUCUAGCUCUGUUUGCGAAUGCUGUGGUCCCUGAACUUUUUCCUGUUACUCCCCUAUCGAUCCCCCUACUCCUCCUUGUAGCCCUUCUUUCUAGAACUCAGCCUCCAGCCCCACCACCUGCAACCAGACCUGGCGAUUCAAAGAUCUCAUCUUGGAGAUGAUUUUCCUGCUCCUGGAGCAGUUUUGGUGCAGUUCAGAAUGGCCAGUACUAUGGCUUCAGCAGCCUGACCUGGUGGACAAAGAGAAGCAAGACAAUGGCAAACCUGCAUUCAGCCUCAUCUGCUCCUUUCCUUCCCUGCCUGAUCAGCCAGAUGGCCUAAGCUUCUACAUUUGUCCCUGGCUUCUCCAUGGAACUCAGUCUGUAGCCACAGAACAAACCAUAGGGCCAGAGACAGAGAAGGUAGAGGUGAAUGAGGAGUGGGAAGCACCUCAUCUGUUCUCAAGGAGGGGAAUGAUUGGCCAAGAUGAGACCCAAUCAUAUGUCCAUUACCUCCUGGGUCAUCCACUUGGUGGUGAGUCCUUUCCAGGCCAUGUGCCGGGGCAGUUCCAGUAACCAGGCAGGAGCUGAGAAGCCCCAGGCAGGGACAGCUGCCUGGAGACGGAAAAGGAUGCAGUUGCCUGGAGUCGGCAGAAGGCGCGGAGCAGGUAGGGAGCAAGAGGGCACCCAGACCAAGCAGCAUGGAGGCGAUGGUGGGACACCCAAGGGAGCAGGCGAACCCAGAUGAGGUUCAUCCGGACCAGAUUUUGUAGGGUCCGCGUGUCCAUAUCAAGCCACGUGGAGGCCAUAGUGGGACACCCAAGAGAGCAGGUGAUGCCAGAUGAGGUUCAUCGGGACCAGAUCUUGUGGGGACUGCGUGACCAUAUCAAGCCGUGUAGAGGCCACGGUGGGACACCCGAGGGAGCAGGCGACCCCACAUGAGGUUCAUCAGGACCAGAUCUUGUGGGGACUACAUGACAAGAUCAAGCUGUGUGGAGGCCACGGUGGGACACCUGAAGGAGCAGGCGACCCCAGAUGAAGUUCAUCAGAUCUUACGGGGACCACCUGACUAGAUCAAGCUGUGUGAAGUCCAUGGGGGGACACUCCAGAGAGCAAACGACCCCAGAGGAGGUUCAUCAGGACCAGAUCUUCUGGGGACCGUCUGACGAGAUCAAGCCAUGGGGAGGCCACAGGGGACACCUGAGGGAGCAGGCGACACCAGAUGACGUUCAUCGGGACCAGAUCUUGCGGGGACCGUGUGACCAGAUCAAGCCAUGAGAAGACCAUGGUGGGACACCUGAGGGAGCAGGUUACCCCACAUGAAGUUCACUGGGACCAGAUCUUGUGGGGACUGCCUGACCAGAUCAAGUUGUGUGGAGACCACGGUGGGACACCCGAGAGACCAGGCAACCCCACAUGAGGUUCAUCAGAUCUUAUGGGGUCCGCCUAAGCAGACCAAGCCGUGUAGAGGCCACGGUGGGACACUGCCGGAGCAGGUGAACCCAGAUGAGGUUCAUCAAAUAUUCUGGCGACCGCAUGAUCAGAUCAAGCUGUGUGGAAGCCACAGUUGGACACCCGAGGGAGCAGGUGACCCCACAUGAGGUUCAUCGGGGCCAGAUCUCGUGGGGACCACCUGACUGGAUCAAUCCAUGUGAAGGCCAUGGUGGGACACCCGAGGGAGCAGGUGAUUCCAGAUGAGGUUCAUCAGAUCUUGUGGGGACCGCCUGACUAUAUCAAGCCAUAGGGAGGCCACGGUGGGACACCUGAGGGAGCAGGCGACCCCACAUGAGGUUCGUUGGGACCAGAUCUUGUGUUUACCGCGUGAGCAGAUCAAGUUGUUUGGAGGCCACAGUGGGACACCUGAGGAAGCAGGCAACCCCAGAUAAAGUUGAGACCAAAUCUUGUGGGGACAGCAUGACCAGAUCAAGCCGUGUGGAGUCCACAGUAGGACACCCGAGGGAGUAGGCGACCUCAGAUGAGGUUCAUCAGGACCAGAUCUUGUGGGGACCGCCUGACCACAUCACGCCAUGUGGAGGCCAUGGUGGGACACCCGAGAGAGCAGGCGACCCCAGAUGAGGUUUAUCCAAACCAGAUCUUGUGGGGACCGCCUGACCAGAUCAAGGAGUAUGGAAGCCACAGUGGGACACCCAAGGGAGCAGGUGACCCCACAUGAGGUUCAUCAGAUGUUGUGGGGACUGCGUGACCGGAUCAAGCAGUGUGGAGUCCACGACAGGAAAUUCGAGGGAGCAGGCGAUUCCAGAUGAAGUUCAUCAGGACCAGAUCUUGUGGCAGACCUUCUGAUCAGAUCACGCCGUGUGGAGGUCAUGGUAGGACACCCAAGGGAACAAGCGACCCUAGA